rnacentral:rRNA from 1 species
GGAUUAGAUACCCUGGUAGUCUACGCUGUAAACGAUGAGUGCUAGAUAUCGGGACAUUAGUUUCGGUGUCGCAGCUAACGCAUUAAGCACUCCGCCUGGGGAGUACGGUCGCAAGAUUAAAACUCAAAGGAAUUGACGGGGACCCGCACAAGCGGUGGAGCAUGUGGUUUAAUUCGAUGCAACGCGAAGAACCUUACCAACCCUUGACAUCCCGAUCGCGAGGACCAGAGAUGGACCUCUUCAGUUCGGCUGGAUCGGUGACAGGUGUUGCAUGGCUGUCGUCAGCUCGUGCUG